rnacentral:rRNA from 1 species
UACAGAGGGUGCAAGCGUUGUUCGGAAUUACUGGGCGUAAAGCGCGUGUAGGUGGCGAUGUAAGUCGGGUGUGAAAUCCCUCAGCUUAACUGAGGAAGUGCACUCGAUACUGUGUCGCUUGAGUGUUGGAGGGGAUGGCGGAAUUCCCGGUGUAGAGGUGAAAUUCGUAGAUAUCGGGAGGAACACCUGUGGCGAAGGCGGCCAUCUGGACAACUACUGACACUGAGACGCGAAAGCGUGAGUAGCAAACAGG